UCAGCCUUUCCGCGUGUAGGAAGACUGCCCUAUGGUUUCCCAAACUACUUGGUAUAGAGGAAGAAACGAUUUCACGUGUGGAAUUUUGACGGUAUCUCUCCGAAUAAGGAUCGGCUAACUCCGUGCCAGCAGCCGCGGUAAUACGGAGGAUCCAAGCGUUAUCCGGAAUCAUUGGGUUUAAAGGGUCCGUAGGCGGGUUUGUAAGUCAGUGGUGAAAGUUUUCGGCUCAACCGGAAAAUUGCCAUUGAUACUGCAAGUCUUGAAUCAUUAUGAAGUGGUUAGAAUGUGUAGUGUAGCGGUGAAAUGCAUAGAUAUUACACAGAAUACCGAUUGCGAAGGCAGAUCACUAAUAAUGUAUUGACGCUAAGGGACGAAAGCGUGGGUAGCGAACAGGAUUAGAUACCCUGGUAGUCCACGCCGUAAACGAUGGUUACUAGCUGUUCGGAUUUCGAUCUGAGUGGCUAAGCGAAAGUGAUAAGUAACCCACCUGGGGAGUACGUUCGCAAGAAUGAAACUCAAGGGAAUUGACGG
rnacentral:rRNA from 1 species